GGAGUGGCUGUAGCUUAGUGGAAGAGCCUCUGCUUUACAUGCAUAAGGUCCCAGGUUCAAUUCCUGGCAUCUCCA